GCUGGCUGCCAGCCAGGGGCUGCUGUUAGCUUCUAGAAUUUGCUAUCAUUCCUUGCCACCUUGUCCCUCAGUCUUCAGGUCAACAAUGGCAUGUGAAUUCUGCUUCUAGUCUGACUUCUCCUUCUGCCACCAGUGGGAGAAAGCUCUCUGCUUUUAAGGUCUCAUGGGAUUAGAUGAGGCUCACCCAGAAUAUUUCCCUAUUUUAAGGCUAAUUGUGCCAUGUAACCUAAGCUAAUUACAGAGGUGACAUCUCAUCAUGUGCACAGACGGGUUCCAGGGAGCCAGGCAGGACAUCUCUGGGGUGCUGGAUUUACUGUGCUGCACACUAGAGAAGGUACAUUUUUAUCAGACACCCUCUAUUUUCUUUUUCUUUUUUUUUUUUUUUUUUUGUUUUUGAGAUGGAGUCUCACUCUGUGGCCCAGGCUGGAGUGCAGUGGCGUGAUGCCGGCUCACUGCAACCUCUACCUCCCGGAUUCAAGCAAUUCUCAUGCCUCAGCCUCCCGAGUAACUGGGAUUACAGGGAUGUGCCACCAUGCUGGGCUCAUUUUUUCUAUUUUUAGUAGAGACAGGGUUUCACCAAGUUGGCCAGGUUGGUCUUGAAUUCCUGACCUCAAGUGGUCCACCCACCUCGGCCUCCCAAAAUGCUGCGAUUAUAGGCAUGAGCCACCGCGCCCAGACCCACCUCUAUUUUCUAAGUGCUAAACAACAUGGCUCCAAAGCAUAACUGAAAAGCAGGUUAGUUGCUCAUCGCAUGCAGAGUCCAAUGAACAAGCGCGAGGUCUGGUGUAAGAAAAGUGAAUGUAUUCCAAAGGUAGCUUGGGGAAGGGACACAACGCGUCCUGCCUUUACAUGUGCUGCUUCACCUUUGGAGCAGUAACAUGGACACUUUUAUAAGGUCGGGGGUGAGCAAGUAUGCAAGGCAGGCGUUCCCCUGUUGCCCCGUAUCUUAUCUACUGGAUAAUUGAGUUGGUGCCUUCCCAGGCAGAAAUAACUUGUAAAAGUGGCCAAGCGGGAAUGCUUUCGACAUACCCUCCUGGAGGAUGAAGGUCACUUCCAGUUUGCAGAGCAGAAGUUCUAAGGUCACCCCAUGGAGGUAAAAGUUCCGUGGCAGGUACGCUUCAGUCUGGAAAUCAACUGUCAGCAAAUCGACUGUCAGCUCUCAAGGAAAAGAUCUGUCUUGGAGCCGUUGAAGAAAUUGCCCUGAAGGGAAUUACCCUGAAGGGAAUGUCUAGGGGGAGGUGAACGGUUACAUUUGCAUUUCUGAAGGGCUGAGUAGGAAACGGGAAGGAGGGAAAGGGGAGAGAAUAGAA
rnacentral:lncRNA from 1 species